ensembl:lncRNA
GUCGACGUCUCUUGCGCAGCCGCGUCAAAGCCUCGGACACGUCACCACCUUCGCGUCUUUUCUGGAGAGCGCGGGAAGGCGCGAGCUGGAGGACGGUGACGUCACCGGGGUUCCCCGCGUGGCUCUCGGGGGCCGGGGCGGAGCCGGGGACGUGGCGCGCGCCGGGUGGGGGCCGUGGGUGGCGCCGGGCACAGGUCCUGCCGGGGCUGACCGGGCCGCGCCCGCCGACGCUGCCUCGUGACCCCACUGUGGGGCCGGGCCGGCUGCCCGAGCUGCGGCAAAGGUGCUGAGGAGGCGGCUCGGAGGGGAGGGGUGCUGGCGGCCCGGCGUGGAUCUCUCCCGAGGUCUUUAGCCGGCCAGGCCGCCCAGGCGUCACCCUAACCUUCACAUCCUAUGUAAGGCCGGGCACCGACUUCCUGUUAUCCUCGCGCUGUUGGGGCCCAUCCUGGACUCUGGCCGGCUGGUCCGCCGGGGCGGCGGGGCACGUGGGGCCUGACUGCACCCAGAGCUGCCGCGCCAGACCUCGGGCCCCUCCCCGCCCAAGCCUCGCCCUGGCUGUCCUGCCUGGUGUGGAAGGAGAAGAGUGUGUGGCCUCUGGCUGGCCUGUCUGCCCUGAGCGAGUCGUUCAGAUCUCCUUUUCAAAACACGGUCCACUCCCCAGACUCACUAGUCUGUGCCUAGCAGCCUAGUAGUAGUCGGCCAGUCAAAAUGUAAAAAGUUGUUUUUCCACUUUUUCCCGCCGGCCUAGAGUCACCCUAACCCUUAGAGCCACGUUGCAGGGCCGUUCAUCCCUGCGUAGUUCUUAAAAUGCUUUGUGUGGUUCUAAUGGAGAGAAACUUCCCUUUUCCUAGCAUGAGCUCCACAGCCUGCCCAGUGAGUGGCUGUAGAAAAAAAGGUGCAGAGGGCUCAUCCAUUAGCUGAUGAGUUGAAUGUGGGGCCUGAUGAGAAUUCACGGAAGGGUGGUUAGGGGAAUUUUCUCUGGGCCCCAGCACCUGUGAUACUGCGAGGCCACAGGAUUUCCUGCUGGGAGCCUUGUCUAGGGCACACUGCCUUGUGGCACUGUGCAGUUGUCUUUCUGUUCUAGCUGCUCCUUCCUAGAAUUUUUCAUCUCAUGUUACAGUGCUAUGGAUAUUUCCUGGGAUGGCAUGAGUGAGCCACGGGGACAAGCCACUCACCAGUAGCGUAUAGGAAGCUGGUCUAACAGAGUAAACAAUGUAGGACUAUCUCCUGGAAGGAAGAAAACGAAUGUAUCCUGGAGUGCUUAUGUAGCAGGGACUGUAUUUGCCUUUUUACACAAGUUAGUUCAUUAGAUUCCCACAGCUGGUCUUGUGAGCUAGGUUUGAAUUAUCCUUUUAUAGAGAGGAGGAAACUGGUUCAACAGGGUAAAUGGUGUGCAUCACUUCUUACAGGAAGAAUGUCAUAGAGCAAGUGAUCUCAGAGGCCCUACUAAAGUUCCAUUGCAGGACUCGGGCAAGAAAGAGACAGUAAGAGUCAGCCCUUUUCUAGAGUAUGAGAUGCUCGGGACCACCCAGAGGAUAAGAGUGAAGGCAUAUUACACUAAAACCCUCUCCAUAUCCCAGUCUCUUGGCUACACCUGCCAUGUGUAUAAGGCAAAAAAGCAGGUUAAGUGACGGAGCGCUGAAGAGCAGCCUUUGAGACCCUAGAAGUCCGCAAAGACAAAGAAGGAUCACCACUCCCGAUACACACUUUGCUUUGGUCAUGGAUGGGUUAAUGGAAAGACUUGUGUAUCAGACUGGGGCCUUUUUUUAGCACCAUCUGGCAGAAGCCACCUCUCCUGCACCUGCUCCAUGUACAAACCAUUGCUCAUUUGCCAGUCAGCAGUGUGAAAGAAGUGUGGUGAGUGUAAGUUAGGUUUACUGCUAUCUCAGAGAGGUAUUCUCUGAACUUCAUCCUGCGAAUGACAACCUGUACCCACUGGUCAUUGUUUGUAGGACUGCAAAAGACCGGAGUAAAGGAACAAAGGCAUAAGUCCUCUCUCCAUUUUCUUUUGUUUCCUUUCUUUUUGUAAAAUCUUGAACUUGGCUAGAGCAGAAGAUAGACACAUUCCCAGGAUAAGGCAAACUGAUAAAGGCCCAGGUAUUUCGAAGUCGUUCCUCAAAGCCCAGGACUUUGUAGGUAAAUAUUCCCUGGUUUUGAACAAGGUAGGUAGCUGUUGUGUUUCAGAUUGAGAGAGCAGAUGAGCCUUGUUAGUUGACCCUGGGCCACUUUAAAUGGAAGGUGUUUUUUUCCUUCCUCUUUGCUGCCAAAGCAAUUCAUUCUGUCCUGUCUUAGGACCUUAGUUUGAAACCUACAAGGCAUGGUCCCCCAGAUGCUUAUUUCGAGAAACAUCUUCUAUUUUGUCAGUGCAGUUUACACAGUGCAAGUCUUACAGUGACAAGAAAUGUUUGCCUUCAUACCAGUAAAAUCCACAUGUAAAGGAUGAUGAGCUCUCUGUGAGAGUAAACCUAAUUUGUUGCCCAAAUGGUUGAGGACACUCCAAGCACUGCUCAGAUGUCUGGGAGCAGGCUCAAGAAGAAAAGGCUGGAACGUGGUUGUAAUUUAGGUUAAGUGAUAAAGCAGUUUAGAGUCUAAACUGAGCAGAAGGGGUUUGGCCAUCUUUGGAAGUAGAGCAUUGGCCCUGGUACUACCUAAGGAAGGGCAGGCCUUAUCUGAGGGAACUGGAGCACUGUGAUGGCCUUGAUCAAACUGCUCCUGUAGCAGGGAAGGGGGCCCUGCCAUAUAGAGAGAUGUGACUUUAGGUUGAUUAAUUUUGUUCUCAGUUUCUGUUAACCAAGCACUCUUUAGCCCUUGAGGAAAAGAUCAGCCAGUCAGGCCAAUUCAAGCAUUCUAGUCCAUUAGAAUGUCCACAGUUCCUUGGUAUGAAUCUUUACAUUGGCAUUUGGUUUGUAUGCCUUGCAACCUCUGUGUGAACUUGGUUAAUAGGUGUUUUAGAGGUGGAUCCCUUCACAUGGGAUGGCUUAAAGGUGUAAGGCCCAGAUCUGGGUCUUGUUAAAUCAGCAAGAAAUUAAGUUGGGGAGGAGGGGCAGGAAGCCAGCUUUGCCAAGGAAAUACUACCCUUGUCUUAUUGUUGACCUUCCUUUUGCAAUCACGUUCAGGAAAAUUAUCAGCACAAGGCAGAAAGUGUUAAAUUCUAGAUGAGGGAUACAGGCAUCAAGUGCUAUGGAUUCCAAGGUGGGGGGAGAUUGCUGUGAGAGGUUAAAGAAAAGUUGGUGUCACAGAAGCGGUGGGUAAGAUUUGCCAAAUGGAUAGGAUUUCAAUAGAUGGAGAUGUUGGAGAUGGAGAAGAAAUAUCCUCUGCCAUUUCAGUGAAGUCCCUCUAGAGCUGAUGUAAAAUGUAUGGUCAUCUGAUCUCUUAGCUGUUAAGCCAAAGAAAAAAAACACUGUUGUGGCAGGAGAGGGAGUGGUAGGCCCCAGAGAAAAGGAAAGAAAAUGAACUGUUUAGUCAGCAGCUUGUUUAUUUAACAUGUCUUGAGUUUUUAGUAUGUGCCAGGCACUGAGCUGUGGGGGAUAUAGAAGUGAACAAAACAAACAAAAGCCCUACCUUUCUCUCUAGUGAGGAGAAAGACUAUGGAAGGAAGGUGGGAAAGAAGAAGGGUUGGAUGAAGGGCUAUAUAGUAUGUCAGAUGUGCUGUGGAGAAAAUAAAGGGUUGGGGAAGUUGGAGGAUGUACUGAGGUUUUUUUCUUAAAAAAUUUUUUUCUUUUAUUCUUUUAAAUGUUUAAUGAAUUAUGUACAAGCUAAUAUAAAGGUAAAAUAUAUGUGCAAGCUAAAGACUCAGAUCUGGGCCUUUGAUCAUUUUCUGUGAGAAGGGGGAUCUGACCAGAUUGUGACCCAAAAGAUAAAAUUUGUCUGUGAAUAUGACUUGCUGCCUGGGGAAAAGUAAGCCAUGAUGUAUGAAUGAAGCACUUCUGAAAGCAAGAAAAACCAGGUGCAAUGAUAGAGGAAAACAGAAUUGUACUCUAAACCUCUAAAUAUGAAUAUUAUGGUUCUAAAAAAAUAGGUGUUGACUUUGUGAGAUGUGAUAGACCUAAGCGGGGAAAGAGGAAAGAGCUAAAGAAACGCCUCUGCUCCUUUUCCUGCUCAGGGCGGGUGGGUCUGGCGGAGGGGAGGAAGUCAGGCCUUGAGACAAGGUGGCUGUGGAAUCUGCUGAGACCACAUGUGUUUCCUCGAGAGGUUCACUGUUCACAGAUGUGCCUGUGAAGCUGAAGAUACGAAGUUCAGGAGGGAGCUCAACCUGCUCACCUUACGCUGAAAUGAACCCAGCAGGCCAGCUGGCAGGAAGUCAGACUGCUGUCCUUGCCUCAGAGGAUGACACAGGCCAAAGGAGAGAAGCAAAACAAGGCAGCCUGAGCAAUUAGGAGUACGGAAAGAGGGCGUGCUUGGCCUGGCACUGCUUCCAGGCCGGGCCAUCUUCCUGAUCUCUGUGCUGACGCUGUUGUUCCAGCCACUGGAGAAAUCCUGAGGCCUACACACUCCAUGUAUCUCAUUGAAAAGCGGAUACAGACUGCCUUCCAAAGACGUCUAAGGCGUGUGGAAGAGCAGAAAGGACAAAGUUUUGUUUUAUUUUAUUUUGCUUUUAAAAUGUUUAUGUGUAUUUACUUUUUUGAAUUGGCAGUUCACAUACAUGGCUCAAAACUAAAAUAGUAUAAAAAGGUAUAUAACAAAAAGCUGGCACAACUGAGCGACUGAACUGACUGAAUGAAAAGUCUCUCUCCUGUUCCUGUACCCCAUCUGCCCAUUUCCCCCAUCCUAAAUAGAAAACUCUUUGUUACUAGGUUUUGUUUAUCCACUAGUGAUGUUUCUGUGCAUGUGUGUGCAUGCUCAGUCCCUCAGUCAUGUCUGACUCUUUGCAACCCCAUGGACCAUGGCCUGCCAGGAUCCUUGGUCCAUGGAAUUUUCCAGGGAAGAAUACUGGAUACUGGAGUGACUUGCCAUUUCCUACUCCAGGAGAUAUUCCCAACCCAGUGAUUGAACCUGUGUCUCCUGCAUUGGCAGGCAGAUUCUUUACCACUGAGCCACCUGAGAAACCUUUUAUGCAUAUACAAGCUAAAAUAUAUAUAUUCUUUACUCCAUUCUAACAAAUUGUGCCAUGCUAUACAAACCUUUUGCACCUUGUUGGGUUCCCCAUCCUCCACCCCCACUUAACACUAUAUCUUGGAAACAUUUCCUUCUAAGUGUACAGAGAGCAUUCUCAGUUUUAUUUUUGUGGCUGCAGAAUUUUAUACUGUAUGAAUGUAGUGUAAUUUAUCUGGUUCCCCUGAAGGAGGUUUAGGUUAUUUCCAAUGUUUUGGUAUUAUGAAUAAGGGCAUGGUCAUUAAAAACAGAUGUGACUUCAAAUCCUAGUCUGAUGCUUGACUUUAGGCCUUCAUUUCCUAAUCUGUAAAGUGGGGAUUAUUUUAUAUUUUUAUUAUCUGUCUCAUAACAUUAUUGUGAAAGAUUAAGUAAUAUAUAAAGAACUUGAGAAAUAGUAGGUACCCAGUGAAACCAAUAUAUUAUACCUUGCAACCAAGCAUAUUAGAAUUUUAUCUUGAAGAAGAUACUUUGAUUAUUCCUAAUUUGAGUAAUCACAUACAUUUAAAUACUUUUUUCAGAACCAAUGUAUAUUUAUUAUUUUUAAAAAUCCAGAUAAGCAAAAAGAGGAAAAUACAGAUAGCCUAUAGUGGCGCUAGUGGUAAAGAACCUGCCUGCCAAUUCAGGAGACAUAAGAGAUGUGGGUUUGAUCCCUGGGUUGGAAAUAAGAAGAUCCACUGGAAGAGGAUAUGGCAGCCCACUCCAGUAUUCUUGCCUAGAGAAUCCCCGGGGCAGAGGAGCCUGGCAGGCUACAGUCCAUAGGGUCGCAAAGAGUUGGAAAUGACUGAAGUGAAUGAGCACAUAAUUGUACCACUGAAAAAAAUUACUUAUAUGUUUUGAUCUGUCUUUUGAGUUAUUUCUCUAACCAAAUGUGCAUAUAGUAUAAAAUUCGGAAUGAAAUGGUACAGUACAUACUUUUUUAUAACCUGCCUUCUUCAAUUAACUGUGCUUGCAAUCAUCUCUCCAUGUCAUAAAAUAUUUUUCUCAUUGUUUUUAAUGACUGCCUAGUAUGUUAUCCUUUGGAGUUAUAAUAAUUUAUAAUUUAUUAAAAAUUCUCUCUGGGUAGAGAAUUUACUUAUACAUAAGUAUUUAAUCUCUCUAGAAUUAAUGGUGAUUCAUAAUAUGAGUUAAGUAAUAUAAAUUAUUAUUACUUUUUACAAAUGGUUAAUCAGGAACUUGCCUGACAUCCUUUAUUGAACAAGCCACACUUACCCUACUAGUUUGAAAUGCUAUCUUAAUCAUAUUCUAAAUCCUUAUAUAAGCAUAGAUAGAAUUGAUUUUAGAUUUUAUUCUAUUCUGUAGAUUGACUUCUCUAUUCUCAUGUAGUAAUCACAAUUUCAUUAAAGCACACUUAAAUGUCUACUGGUAUAAGUCCCUCAUUACAUUUUUUUUUUUUCCAAGAAUGUUUUGGCCAUUUUAAUUUUCUUAUUUUUCUCAAAAUGUUAGAAUAAUUUUUACAGAUUCUAGAAAAGUAGAAUUGGAUGAAAAAUUGAAUUGUAUUUAAUUUAAACAUCCUUUUGGGGAUGUUUUUGUUUCCUAUGGCUGCUAUAACAAAUGACCAGACUUUAUGGCGUAACAACAGAAAUGAAUUCUUGUAGUUCUGAAGGCCAGAAGCCUGAAAUCUGUGUCACUGAGUCGAACUCAAGGUGUCAGCAAUGCCACGCUCCAUCUGGAGGCUGGAGGGGAGAAUCCAUUCACUGCCUCUUCUAGUUUCUGGUGGCUACUGGCCUUCCUUGACUUUGAAGAUACUUUGAUUGCUCCCAGUUAAAUAGGAAUGCGUGUGUGCUAAGUCUUGUCCAACUAUUUGCAUCCAGGGAUUGAACCCAGGUCUCCCUUACUGCGGGCAGAUGGUUUACCAUCUGAGGGGACCAUUUUUCAGUUUCCCACAGGGAAAAAUUGACAUCUUUAUAAUUGAGAUAUUGUGAUUUAUUAUAAUAAAAAAGUAUAUUUUGUCUUCAUCCCAUUUCUAAAACUGUUGGAAUUUCUAAAUGAUAAGAGCAGGGCUUCUCUGGUGGCUCAGUGGUAAAGAAUCCACCUGCCAAUGCAGGAGACAUGGGUUUGAUCCCUGUUCCAGGAAGGUCCCACAUACCACAGAACAGCUAAGCCUCUGUGCCACAACUAUUGAGCCUGUGCUCUAGAGCCCGGGAGCCACAGCUGCUGAGGCCAUGUGCCACAACCACUUUGCUCCCUGUGCAGCAGUGAAGCCUGUGAGCUGUGAAGCCCAUGCUCUGCAACAAGAGAAGUCGCUGCAGUGAGAAGCCUGUGCACCACGAGAAGAGAGUGCCCCCGGUCACCGUAACCAGCAAAAGUCUAUGUAGCAAUGAACACCCAGCACAGCCAAAACUAAAUUUUAAAAAAAAAAAAUUAUUAAGAAGAAGAAACACUUUCAAGUAAUAAGAGCAAAAAAGGUGUCUUGAUAUGCAUAACAAUCCCCUUUGAACCACACUGGAGUUUAUGUUAAUGAGGUGACUUCUGGAAAGCAUCUAAAGAUGAGAGCUGGUUGCCAGGGGAACAAACCAUGUGAUUAGAAGGUUGGAACUUUCAGUCCCAGUCACCCAGAAGGGGAGAGGGGCUGAAGGUUAAAUCAGUCACCAAAGACCAGUGAUUUAGUCAAUCAUACCUAUGUAAUGAAGC